rnacentral:misc_RNA from 1 species
UCCGGCUUCCCGCCGGCAGUCUCCCGAGAGUCCCCGCCAUGACGCGCUGGCAACACGGGAUAGGGGUUGCGCUCGUUACGGGACUUAACCCAACAUUUCACAACACGAGCUGACGACAGCCAUGCAGCACCUGUGCUAGCCCCCGAAGGACACGGGCUUUCACCCGCUUUAACUAGCAUGUCAAGCCCAGGUAAGGUUCUUCGCGUUGCAUCGAAUUAAGCCACAUGCUCCGCCGCUUGUGCGGGUCCCCGUCAAUUCCUUUGAGUUUUAAUCUUGCGACCGUACUCCCCAGGCGGUCAACUUAGUGCGUUAGCUGCGCCACUAAAGACAUUACGUCCCCAACGGCUAGUUGACAUCGUUUACGGCGUGGACUAC